rnacentral:rRNA from 1 species
UCAACGGAGAGUUUGAUCCUGGCUCAGGACGAACGCUGGCGGCGUGCCUAACACAUGCAAGUGGAGCGACGAACCGGGCUUCGGCCCGGGGCAAAGCCGCGAACGGGUGAGUAACACGUGGGUAACCUGCCCCGAUGAUUGGGACAACCCGAGGAAACUCGGGCUAAUACCAAAUGU